ACGCACUCUUCCUCUUUUCUAUUGUUUUCUUUCUCCUCUGCUUUAUUCUUUUCUCUUCUUUGUUUAUAUUCUUCUUGUAAUCGAGCGAGAUACAGGGAGUGAGAAGUUGAGAGAAUGAGGGAGAUCAGGGAGAGACUUGAGAGCUGAGAGAGAGACGCAUAGAGAGAUCGGGAGAGAAGAACCGGAGGAUCCGUGAGACCCGUGACCCGAUCCUUCUUCUUCCUUCCUUUCUCUUCUUUGUCUAAGUAGCAGAGAGAGGAACCGUGAGAUGAGAGACAUCGAGUGAGAGGGAGAUUCGGAUAUCAGAGGGAGAGAUGAAACCAAGAGAGAACCUGAGGGAUUCAGAGAACCCGAAGGGCCCAGAGACUAAUCGGAGGUCCGAUCCUCCCUGGAUGGUGUUGGCCGUCGCCGGUGGAGCCAGAGGACACGAUUUCCGGUAGAUAUUCCUUUGUCUAAACAGAAAUAUAUGAAGGAACGUGUCAUGAUUGCAGACUUCAACUUGAUUAUCCAAUGUAGAGUCCAAGUAACUAGAACAUGGAGGCCAGGAGUAUUCGGGUCAUGAAUCCUAUGCAGCCAAGGUACCGCAGACGUCGACGACAACCCAGUGGCAAACUACUUGGGAUACUACAACUGAAGCACUUCGUUGGGGUUGUAGCUCUGUCGGACUUGGAUUAUCCACUUUUAUAGUUAUUCUGUAUAUGGCUCGUGUCGCUUGUGACACAUGUGUUUGAUUAGUCAUUCUUUUCAGUAUGUAAGUAAUGUUAUGUUUAAAGCUUUAAACAGAUAGACGUUAUACUAGCUCUUUUGUGUAAUUAACAGUUGAUGUUAUGUUUUCCGCUGUAUAGAUGUUUACUCUGUAUAUCAGGUAUAUAUUAUGGGAUAUGUAUCAUAUGUUGGUUUUGUGACA